CGAGAAUGGCCAGCAAAGCAAUACAGCGUGCCAUGCAGGAGACUCAGGAACAAGGGCUGCGGGCCGCUGGCCCAGGAAGCCAGAUCAUCAGGGAGCCUUCUGGGAGGACGGGGCCCCUCAAGGACCAGGGGCCUGUCACAGAAGAGCCAACAGACACCCUGGAAGCAGCCCCUCCCAUGAACAAGAAGAGCCCCCGAACGUUUUCACCAAAUGACCAACCCCAAAUUAGGCUGCCUCCACUUCCCACAGCCUUUUCAACAGACCUAGAGGAGCCGGCUAAUUAGUAAUAAAUCUGAGAAUAAGCAGCUGACUCUCCAGUCCCAGAAAGGAAGUCCCUGUGUUUCCUCGCCGGUGUCACUGUGGGCAUCGCCACACGACCGAGUCCCGACGGCUCCCCCACGGCUCUGCCACCCCGGGAGUCAGCUGCGUGGUGAGCCUGCCAAACUCCGCGGGAAGGACGGGUGGGGGCUCCAGCGCCCUCCCAGAAGCCGGGCCCUCCCUCAUGCCUCUCACUCUGGCUGAAGCGGCGCUGGCUCCGUCAAAGCCGACCCUGCCGAGAGGCAGGAGAGUACAGGCUUCUGCAGCCAGCCACGGCACCCCAGGCCGGCCCCUUCUCAGGCCUUCUCAGUGAGGCUGUCGGUGAGGCAGUGCUCCUCUCGGGGAGCCAGCCCUCGCCACCUCCUGCAUUUCCCUCAGAGACCAGAAGCGGAAGGAGAUCAGUUCCGUCAGCUCCAGGAGAGGGGAAGAAAAUAAAAGUUUGACAGGAAUUUAUAAAUACAGC
rnacentral:lncRNA from 1 species